UGGGGAAUAUUGGACAAUGGGGGGAACCCUGAUCCAGCCAUGCCGCGUGUGUGAAGAAGGCCUUAUGGUUGUAAAGCACUUUAAGCGAGGAGGAGGCUCUUUUGGUUAAUACCCAAGAUGAGUGGACGUUACUCGCAGAAUAAGCACCGGCUAACUCUGUGCCAGCAGCCGCGGUAAUACAGAGGGUGCGAGCGUUAAUCGGAUUUACUGGGCGUAAAGCGUGCGUAGGCGGCUUUUUAAGUCGGAUGUGAAAUCCCCGAGCUUAACUUGGGAAUUGCAUUCGAUACUGGGAAGCUAGAGUAUGGGAGAGGAUGGUAGAAUUCCAGAUGUAGCGGUGAAAUGCGUAGAGAUCUGGAGAAAUACCGAUGGCGAAGGCAGCCAUCUGGCCUAAUACUGACGCUGAGGUACGAAAGCAUGGGGAGCAAACAGG
rnacentral:rRNA from 1 species